rnacentral:lncRNA from 1 species
CUCCUCUUGUGUAGUACUUGAACACUUACUAAAUAUAAACUAAAAAUUAAAUUGCUAGAACACUUACAAUAUUGCUAAAAGAGAGAAAUAGUAGUAACAGGGAAGAAAGAAGAGUAAAUUUGAUGUGGUGAGAAUGGGAGAGGAGGAGGCUAUUUAUAGAAAUUCGUAAAUUUUUUUUUUCCAAAAUACCCCUCAAAAUAGCCAUUUAUGGCUGUUGAGAGAGUUAAAAAGAUAAAAAAAAUAAAAA